UUCGACUUAGUUAAACCGAUAAUACUAAUUUUGGAGAUUAGAGUUCCAUAUUCGAAA
rnacentral:tRNA from 1 species